GCCAGCUUUGCUGCCUGAUGGCACCGCAGUUUAGUCAAGUUGUAAACCUCCCCCCGACUGUGAGAUGCAACCAGAAACGUUUUUAAGAGUUUUUCUGACAGAGACCCAGAGAAGUUACCAGGGAAGAUCCAUUUUUUAGCCUUGCACUUAAACUGAGCACAAAGUCAUGAUCUUCUAGAAACCAGUUUCCCUGUCCAUCCCUGUUUCAACUGUGAAAACAAUUUGUGAAAACCAAGGGAGUCAAAAUAUGGAGAAAGUUGAAUAGAACAGGAAUGCUAAAAGG